UGGGGAAUAUUGCGCAAUGGGGGCAACCCUGACGCAGCAACGCCGCGUGCGGGACGAAGGCCUUCGGGUUGUAAACCGCUUUCAGCAGGGAAGAACCAUGACGGUACCUGCAGAAGAAGCCCCGGCUAACUACGUGCCAGCAGCCGCGGUAAUACGUAGGGGGCGAGCGUUAUCCGGAUUCAUUGGGCGUAAAGCGCGCGUAGGCGGCCCGCUAAGCGGGACCUCUAACCUGGGGGCUCAACCUCCAGCCGGGUCCCGAACUGGCGAGCUCGAGUGCGGUAGGGGCAGGCGGAAUUCCCGGUGUAGCGGUGGAAUGCGCAGAUAUCGGGAAGAACACCGAUGGCGAAGGCAGCCUGCUGGGCCGACACUGACGCUGAGGCGCGAAAGCUAGGGGAGCGAACAGG
rnacentral:rRNA from 1 species